rnacentral:lncRNA from 1 species
UUUUUUCUGUUACUGCAGUAUCUUACACUGAUUGAUUUUCAUAUGUUGAACUAUCCUUGCAUUCCAGGAAUAAAUCCCACAUCAUCAUGUGUAUAAUCCUUUUAAUAUGCUGUUGAAUUUGGUUUACUAGUAUUUUGUUGAGAAUUUUAAUAUUAAUAUUUAUAAGGACUAUAGAUCUGUAAUUUUCUUGUAUAUCUUCGGCUUUGAUAUCAGGCUAAUGCUGGGCUUGUAGAAAUAUUUAAGAAAUAUUCCUUCCUUUUCAAAUUUUAAGAAGAAUUUGAGAAGGGUUGGUGUUAAUUCUGAAAUGUUUGGUAGAUUCACCAACAAAGCUAUCUUGUCCUCUUGUCCUGCUCUCUUCUUCAUUGGGAGGUUCCGAGUCAUUCUUUUUUUUUUUUUGCUUUUCAGGGCCACACCCAUGGCAUAUGGAGCGGCCCAAAGAAAUAGCAAAAAAUUAAAAAAAUAAAUAAAUAAAAUAAAUCAAUGCCUUAAAAAAAAAAAAAAAGAAAACAUUUCCCUAUAUUUGAACCCAGGAGAUGUCUCUGCUAUGACUCUUAUUCUGCCCUAGGAGCCAAACAGAGCAAGAAGAAACACUUUCCACAGAUCUACUCUUCAAAUAUUUGGGGGUUAGGACUCAUAUCUUUUGGAGACUCUGCCUGUUUCACCAUUUUCAAUUUCUCCCCCUUCCCUGAACUAAUGAACCAGCCAAACCCAAACUCAUCAUAGCCUCCAGGGUCCCACAGAACUGGGGCCCUGCCCACCCUGCCAACCUCAGCUCACACGCUUCUCUUUUGGGCUCACCUUGCUUCAGCUACACAGCCUCUUUUCUGUUGGGCAACACUGCCAAGCUCUUCCCUGCCUUCUCUUCAGCUCCGUGACUAGAGGGCUUAUGGAUGCUCGGGCAGAUCCCUGACCCUCACCGAGGUCUCCCUGGUAGAUAAAGUCCCUGACUACUCAUAGAAUCUCCCAGAUCCCCCAGGUGGCAUGGAUGGCAGCAGGGCAGCUGGAGUGGGGACCCAGACUUGGCUGGCCCAUGGCAUCUGAAUUGAGGGAAAAACGGAAAGAGGUCAAAAAGGGAGAGAACCAGAGGUGACUUUUCCACCUCGCCCUGUCUGGAAGCAUCUCACCCACCCCUGGUCCACUCCAGGGUCCCACAUGUGAGACAGUGCUGGUGUCUCCCUAUGGUGUGCCCUCUCUCCACUGAGUGGUCCCCGCCCCCAGGCUUGCCUUUGUCCCUUUGUCCAGGGCCCAUGCUCCUCCUCUUUUGGUUUCUCAGCGUCCUCAUGCUUCCAUCCCAAGCUGAGCUGGCCCAGGAGACAGCCAUUGCAUGAGAGCCUUGGGGACAGUGUGGCAGGUGUGACUCUGGGACCCUGGCUCUUGCCUCAGCUAAAGCUUGAGGGAGCUUCCCACUUGAUGGGAAGGUAGGAGGCUCAAGCAUGGGGGUGUGGAGGUGGGGCGGUCAGCCAGAGGCUAAGAUAUGGCUGCUUAUCCUGGGGAUCCACCCACCAGCCAUGUGUGCCACCCAGGCAAGUCCUCUCUGGCCCUAUCACGCCCAUGUGUGAAAGGGGAUCCAGCUGAGUCGUCUCUGGGACCCCCUCAGCUCUGACAUCCUGAGUCUCCGGGCCCAGGAGCUGGGACAUUGAGUGGUCCCUGGCUGAGCCCUCCCCGCCUCAGUGCUCCCAGAGCCCCUCCCCCCCAGCAGUUCCCUUCCACACUGCCCCGCCCCCGCGUCCCAUCCAUCCUCCUCUCCGCUGUAGCUGCUGCUUAACCUCCACAGGGGGCCGAGGAGCC